rfam:Picea glauca, whole genome shotgun sequence.
UUUUAUGUACAUGCCUACAACAUAUUGUUGAUGCACUGGAUCCCAUUAGAACUCUGCAGUUAAGUGUGCUCAGGCUAGAGUGCUACUGGGAUGGGUGACCACUCGGGAAGUCCUAGUAUUUUACAAGCC